rfam:Fomitopsis pinicola FP-58527 SS1 unplaced genomic scaffold FOMPIscaffold_28, whole genome shotgun sequence.
GGUGCUAUAGUGUAGUGGUUAUCACUCGGGAUUUUGACUUUACGUUGUCUUCCCGAAACCCAGGUUCGAACCCUGGUAGCACCU